UACGUAGGGGGCAAGCGUUGUCCGGAAUCAUUGGGCGUAAAGCGCGCGUAGGCGGUCCGAUAAGUCUGCUGUGAAAGUCGGGGGCUCAACCCUCGGAUGCCGGUGGAUACUGUCGGGCUUGAGUGCGGAAGAGGCGAGUGGAAUUCCUGGUGUAGCGGUGAAAUGCGCAGAUAUCAGGAGGAACACCGAUUGCGAAGGCAGCUCGCUGGAACGUUACUGACGCUGAGACGCGAAAGCGUGGGGAGCAAACAGG
rnacentral:rRNA from 1 species